rnacentral:rRNA from 1 species
UACGGAGGGUGCAAGCGUUAUCCGGAUUUACUGGGUUUAAAGGGUGCGUAGGCGGCUCUUUAAGUCAGUGGUGAAAGCCUGGCGCUCAACGCGAGAAUUGCCAUUGAUACUGGAGAGCUUGAGUCAAGAAGAGGUAAGCAGAAUUCAUGGUGUAGCGGUGAAAUGCGUAGAUACCAGGAGGAAUUCCGACAGCGAAGGCAGCUUACUGGGCUUUGACUGACGCUGAGGCACGAAAGCGUGGGGAGCAAACAGG